ACAACUUCCUCAUCAGCCUAUCAAAGAUGUUACACGUGUGGGCGACAAAAGUCAAGCGGCACAAUAUGCUUUUGAAGUUACUAAAAAGCUUCUGAUUUAAACUGGAUGACCACAGUGUAGUGAUCCUGGCACCUGGUGCUUUUCACGGUGUGCGGCAAGUUGGAAUCCCAGGGCCAUCGUGAUAACCAACCACCAGACCUAAUCUGCCUGUCGACAGGCUGAACAUGCUGAUCCCAACCACACACAGCCCAUCUAAUAAAUUAGUACCAUCUUUAUUGGUGUGAGAAGAUAAGAUGAGGUGAGGUCAACUCCAGGACGGUCUCUCACUGGCGUCAGGGUACUGAUGGCACCAUAGAUGGUACUGACUGGGACUGACUGGUUUUGAGCAAAAGUCCAGAGAUGGGUCCCAAAUGGCACCCUAUUCCAUUCAUAGUGCACUACUUUUGACCAGGGCUCAUAGAAUAGCUUGUCACAUAUGUUAUAUGCGGGUGUUGUGCAGGUCCUGACCUCAUAUCCUUGGAGGAUACCGUUGGUGCUGAGAUGUUGGAUGGGGUCCCACAACACCUGCAUCUCGAAUGCUGUCAGAGCCGUGGCAUUGAUCCUCGAGGGCGCCACCGUGGGCUCUGCAUGGAGGGUCAUGGGUAAAAUAGGGGUUAGGGAGUCGGAUCAUAUCUAACACACAUAAGUACGAUAAACACAAUGAAUUUACAUUAUGUGGUUGGUUGGUAAACAUCUGCUUUUUUGUGUUUUUGUUCGCCCUCUUGUGGCAAACAAGCAUAAUGCUCCUAAUCCUUCCUGCAUGCCCCAGACCUGUUCUGACUCAGCCUCCUCUGCAGAGUGCACCAGGGUGAUCUGACUGAAGUGUUAAGGCUAGGGUUGAGGUUAGGGUUAGAGUUAGAGUUUGGGUUGCUCACCCUCUUCUGCAGAGUGCACCAGGGUGAUCUGACUGAAGGGUUAAGGCUAGGGUUGAGGUUAGGGUUAGAGUUAGAGUUUGGGUUGCUCACCCUCUUCUGCAGAGUGCACCAGGGUGAUCUGACUGAAGGGUUAAGGCUAGGGUUGAGGUUGGGGUUAGAGUUAGAGUUUGGGUUGCUCACCCUCUUCUGCAGAGUGCACCAGGGUGAUCUGACUGAAGGGUUAAGGCUAGGGUUGAGGUUAGGGUUAGAGUUAGAGUUUGGGUUGCUCACCCUCUUCUGCAGAGUGCACCACGGCGAUCUGGCUGAAGGGACCCUCUCCUUUACGGUUGUAGGCUUUGAUCUUCACCUCAAAGAGGCAAUAGGGAGACAGGCUCUGGUUGGAAUAAACGUAGCGAGACGACUCCACGUUGGAAACACGCUCCACCACCCACGUUGGAGAGUUCUGCUUCCGGAAUGCCAGGAUGUAGCCGAAGCCAUCUCCGUUCUGGUACUCUCUGGCCAUGGGCUGGGAUCAGAUUCAAACAAAACUUUAUGGACUUUUUCACAACUUUAUGGACUCCCCCCCACACACACACACACGCACACACUGACCGUCCAGGUGAUGAUGAGUUCGUUGCGGUCUCCUCCUCCUCCACCUAGUCCACUAGGGGCCACUGUGGGAGCUGCUUGCUGGGUGCGUAUAGUGUGAGAGGACAUACUAGGCUCUCCACUGCCCAGGAUGUUACUGGCAAUGACCUGGAAUUCAUAGUCCAUCCAUGGCAACAGGCCAACCACACGAAUCGACUCAGCAUUGCCUUCAAUGUUAGGUGGGUCUGUGGGAGAAGAGCGGAGGAGAAUGCAGAGGAAGGAAAGAAGGAGAAGUCAGUGACUAAUUGAUUGACACAAAAAUACACAGGUACACAGAUAAGCACACACACAGACAGUGGUGGUCCUCUUACCUGUCCUCAUCCUCUUCCAAUCAGGAGACAGUGGAGAGUGACCCAUGAUAACAUACUUCCCAAUGGGGCUGUGGUUGUCAUAGCCACGACUCCAACGCAACUCCACCGACGUCGCGGCAACGUUCUUCACCACCAAACCACCUGGAGGUCCCGGGGGACCUGAGGAGAGACAGUUGGAGAAUGCCUAGUCAGACAGGUGUCCAGUGCUGUUGGCCUUGCCCAGGUAGUUCUCAGCAAAGCAGGUAUACUUCCCCUCAUCGGCCCUGCUGAUGUUGUGGAUCCGCAGCAUCCCGUCUGGAGUCACUGUCACCCUGGAAGAAGAAGCAGGAAGCUCAAGUUACCUUCAUUAUCUUCUUGGGCUUUUUAAAUGUUUGGGCCUUUUAAGUGUUUGCAGUUUGUUGCUAGACGGGAGUUAAGGACGAAAUCAAAUCUAAAACAUGACAGACUUUCCUUCAGAUCAUGUUUCUCUUCUAAUCUCCAUUUGACCUUAACUUCUACCUUUUAUGUUUAAUUCCCUCUGGAGAUGUAUCAAGUGAACAUUCAUACACGUACACACAUGCGCAUAGACACACAGGUUAAUUAAUUAUGUUUUUCAUCUAGACACACAGACCUAACAAAGCACCCAAAUGUGAUGAAAUCCGAAGAAAUAGGUUCCUUUGAUACACACAUAACAGGGGAAUGCUCUUUUGAUCUUACCUUCUACUACAUACCUAUUGCACAUUUU